rnacentral:misc_RNA from 1 species
UAUGAUGCUAUGGGGAGGGUUGACGAUGCGAUUGAGAACUUGGAAUAUGUUCUUAAACUAAGAGAGGAAAAGCUUGGGAUUGCAAAUCCUGAUUUCGAAGGUGAGAAGAAUAGGCUAGCUGAGCUUCUGAAAGAAGCAGGCAGGGCUCGCAACAAAAAGGCAAAAUCACUGGAAAAUCUUAUAGAUAAGAACUCAAGGAGGACCAAAAAAGAUUCAACAAAGAGGUGGCCUGGCCUGGGUUUUAGAAUUUGAGCAAGUAUUAAUUUCUCAUAUUUAUCUCCACGUGCACGUUCUGUAACAUAGAAGGUCAUGUAUAGUGUCAAUGUUGUAAUCUGGUGCGUUUUGCUGUUUCUUGAGCUUUGAAGUCCUGAUUUGUUUGCCACAUUUAAUUGUUUUUAUUGUCUGUCUGUGUUGGGACAUAAAAGUUGUUCACCGAGAAGAAGAAUGUUCAAUUGAGCAAAUAAAUUUUGAAGAUA